CAUCUUUAUUGACAGUGCCCAAAUUUAAGAUUCAUCAUCUGAUUUCUUCACCCUUCAUAUCUCUAUCAGAAUGAUUUCUUCUCAUCCAGAAUCCUGAGACCCAAGAUGAAACCAGUUCCCACUUCAGAACAGGAAAAGGCUUCAGAUGACACAGGGCCCCACCCUCCCUUCACCUCCUGCCAACAGAGAGACGUCAGCCUUGGCAAGACCUCUGGACACGUCCAUGGGCUGCAGUGGCCAAACUUGCCACGGAUGGUAUUCUGUUCCUACCACAGGCUUUGAUGAUAAUCGCACCUGCCCACCUCCGCAGGGCCGAGGCAGCACAGCACCCAGGCAAAGAAGAUGUGCAAGUCAGCAUUUGGACUUAAAGGAGGCUGAAAGAGCGGGGAAACGGUAAACUCCAGGUCCAGGGUGAAUUGUGUGACAGGUGUGUGAGGUCCCCUUGUGGGGUGAAAGAGAGACUCACCUGAGGGGCCAGGCUGGGGCGGGAAAGCUGCGGCGGAAGUCUUCGGAGCCUUGAUGGGCACGGCGGCAGCGCCACCCCUCGCUGCCCCACUC